GACGAACGCCGGCGGCGUGCUUAACACAUGCAAGUCGAACGGUAAGGCCCUUCGGGGUACACGAGUGGCGAACGGGUGAGUAACACGUGGGUGAUCUGCCCUGCACUUCGGGAUAAGCCUGGGAAACUGGGUCUAAUACCGGAUAGGACCACUGCCUGCAUGGGUGGUGGUGGAAAGCUUUUGCGGUGUGGGAUGGGCCCGCGGCCUAUCAGCUUGUUGGUGGGGUGAUGGCCUACCAAGGCGACGACGGGUAGCCGGCCUGAGAGGGUGACCGGCCACACUGGGACUGAGAUACGGCCCAGACUCCUACGGGAGGCAGCAGUGGGGAAUAUUGCACAAUGGCCGCAAGCCUGAUGCAGCGACGCCGCGUGAGGGAUGACGGCCUUCGGGUUGUAAACCUCUUUCAGCACCGACGAAGCGCAAGUGACGGUAGGUGCAGAAGAAGGACCGGCCAACUACGUGCCAGCAGCCGCAGUAA
rnacentral:rRNA from 1 species